rnacentral:rRNA from 1 species
UACGAACUGUGCAAACGUUAUUCGGAAUCACUGGGCUUACAGGGUGCGUAGGCGGCCUGACAAGUAGGGUGUGAAAGCCCCCGGCUCAACUGGGGAGGGUCAUUCGAUACUGAUCGACUCGAAGGCAGGAGAGGGUAGUGGAAUUCCCGGUGUAGUGGUGAAAUGCGUAGAUAUCGGGAGGAACACCAGUGGCGAAGGCGACUACUUGGCCUGUUCUUGACGCUGAGGCGCGAAAGCUAGGGGAGCAAACGGG